CCUACGGGAGGCAGCAGUGAGGAAUAUUGGUCAAUGGACGAGAGUCUGAACCAGCCAAGUAGCGUGAAGGAUGACUGCCCUAUGGGUUGUAAACUUCUUUUAUAUGGGAAUAAAAUGUUCCACGUGUGGGAUUUUGUAUGUACCAUAUGAAAAGGAUCGGCUAACUCCGGUCCACCAGCCGCGGUAAUACGGAGGAUUCGAGCGUUAUCCUGAUUUAUUGGGGUUUAAGGGAGCGUAGGUGGAUUUUUAAGUCAGUUGUGAAAGUUUGCGGGGCAAACGUAUAAUUGCAGUGGAAACUGGCAGUCUUGAGUACAGUAGAGGUGGGCGGAAUUCGUGGUGUAGCGGUGAAAUGCUUAGAUAUCACGAAGAACUCCGAUGGCGAAGGCAGUUCACUGGACUGCAACUGACACUGAGGCUCGAAAGUGUGGGUAUCAAACAGGAUUAGAUACCCUAGUAGUC
rnacentral:rRNA from 1 species